rnacentral:misc_RNA from 1 species
UAUAUAGUUGUAGUUACUUAGAUUGAAAAUGUAAUUGUUUUUUAAUUUCAGUCUUAGGGGAUAUUAUGUAGGGAAGAAUCGGCAAACAGCCUUUUUGGCCUUGCCACAUUGUAACAGACAAUGAUGGGAGAUUCUACAAAAGAAAAAUGUGCUCCAACGAUGUUUUCCGAAUAACAUUCUAUGUGCAGUGGUUGGGGGAUAGAAGGCACUCGUGGGUGGGCCUCUCUUAUUUGGUGCCCUUUGAGAGGGCACCAAACCCCCAGCACACUCCGUAUGACAUGUUGAAAAAUUACAUCCAAACUCACCUCAAAACGAAAGACAACUUGAAGGCCUGUAAGGUGCCAAGGAGGCUGGUGGCCAAAGUGGACGCAGCAGUGGAGUUGGCUAUGGAGAUGCAGGAUGUUUUUAUCUGAGUGAUGGUGAUUGGUUCCGUGGUGUUGAACCAGAUAGUGGUGGGACUUGCGGUGUCCUACCUGAGCGUCCUGAUGUGUGGCAUCGGUGUCCUGAUGGCGUGGCGUGGCUUCUCUCCCCUCCGCCAACUGCCCACCUUCCACUGGGUGUGCGCCGAGUUGGCGCUCCACAUAACUCUCACAGAGUUUUGCACAGCCGCUUGUUUUAUAAGCACAUUCACAAGCAGCACCACGAGUGGACGGCUCCAAUCUCAGUUACCGCCAUCUACUGUCAUCCCAUCGAGCACACAUUCAGCAAUCUGUUGCCGCCCUUCCUCGGG